rnacentral:rRNA from 1 species
AUUGAACGCUGGCGGCAGGCUUAACACAUGCAAGUCGAACGAGCGGCGGACGGGUGAGUAAUGUAUGGGAAACUGCCUUAUGGAGGGGGAUACCUACUGGAAACGUUAGCUAAUACCGCGUACCAUCCGAUGUGCCCAAAUGGGAUUAGCUAGUUGGUGGGGUAAUGGCUCACCUAGGCGACGAUCCCUAGCUGGUCUGAGAGGAUGACAAGCCACACUGGAAAGGAGACACGGUCCAGACUCCUACGGGAGGCAUCAGUGGGGAAUAUUGCACAAUGGGCGCAAGCCUGAUGCAGCCAUGCCGCGUGUGUGAAGAAGGCCUUCGGGUUGUAAAGUACUUUCAGCGGGGAGGCGUUACCUGCAGAAGAAGCACCGGCUAACUCCGUGCCAGCAGCCGCGGUAAUAC